ensembl:lncRNA
GCACCCUCCUCCUCAGGCUCUGCUUUCUGGGCCACCCAGGCCCGCCCGCCACCCCCGGAGGCGGCGACAGGCUAUUUCCUGGAGAAAGCGAAUUGAGAGGGUCUGGAACCUGGAGCCUUGAAGAACUGGGACAGGACCCCACCUCCCACUCACUAAAGAGAAUGUGGAGCAAAAAGAAUACGGGACUAGGUCUGUUUUCCGGUGGAAACGUCUCGGGUCUAAAUAUGGCAGCAGCCUGGGGCCCCUGCAGAAGGUGGGGCCGGGCAGUGACUCUUCUUAAGCCAUACGUCAAAGUCGUCUCCUCCACUGUAACUCCUGGAGAAAGUUCUCUCAAACUUCCCCGACUUGAGUUUGUCUCUGUAGAAGUUUGGACGGAAAUGUGACAAAACCCUCGUUUGAGGGAAGCGAUUAAAGCUUGUCCUCACCGGUGGGCAGAGCGACUUGCCCUGUCUUCUCAUACUGACUGCGCUUCAUGGAUUUCUAAUCAGGCGCUGUCCAGAGUGAAAUUUCUUAUGUUCUGGCUUCUAAACAGUGAAAUACGAAUAAAUUCCAUAAUGUGUUUAAAAACAAAACAAACAGCGACAACAAGAAAAAUACCAGCAGGCAGGUCACGUGGAAGGGCCGGGAGGAGGAGAAAAGGGCCGCCCCGCCCCUACAGGAUCACCUGCUGGCCGGGCUGGCCGCCCCCACGCGGGACAGAACCGGGUCCGCCCGCCACGCCUGCGCAUCUCGGGGCGCAUCCUCUGGGCUGCGGACUCCGCGCCCCGAAGAGGGGUCCCGCUUCUGGCCGCCGCUGGUUGCUCACCCAUCAGGAGCCCCGGAGUCCGGAGCAGGAUUCCCACCCGAACCCCUGGGGCGUCCCCGUGGCCGCUGGACCAGAGCCCCGGACAGCCGGCACUGGCACUGGUCUACACUGGCCCAGACCGCCCACCUUCCACCUGCGCAGGAAGGUGUGGAAGGACGGGAGGGCCAGCAGCAGCCUCGGAGACACAUCAAGGCCUGGCGACCUCGAAUGGCAUCCCACGAGGGCGUGGACCGGGGUGGAGGGUGGGGAUUGGAGGAGAAUUAAUCAAUAAAGUUCAAGCCUUUUGAAAGGAAUAACAAUGACCGUUUCUCUCCCGUGUCCCACCUGGCGGAGUGAGUGAAGCAGCCUGCUGUCUCAGUCCAUGUUCUGGUUCAGCUCCUUCAUCCUGCACAGGAAAUGUCUGCAGGGCCAAGUCACUCCAGAACAUUUGGGGGCCGGUACCAUCACACUUAAAGGAAUCGGUCAACACGGGCGUUUUGUGACGUUCAGGUGCUCUGAGAACUGAGGGAGCAGCCGUGUGCCUAGCAGGAUGCGACGACGAUUAACAGCAGCUAGAAGAUGCUGAUGAAGAAGAGCCUGGAGUCCUCACAUUCUUUUCUUUAGCCUCUUGAAAAAGCUAUAAAGGCAGCAUGAAGAGGAAGCUGUUAGUAGCCAGGAAAUUCGAGAGAAGAACGUUCUGAAAUAGGACUUCUCAGAGGAAAUGAUCACUAAUAGCCCUAAUUCAGGACAUUCCAGACAACAGUCCUAAGAUCAAAGCCGCUCCUCCGCUUCACACACCAGCGGCCGUCUCCUCGCUGCACUCGCCCAGCAGGCACCCUUCGCCAGAACCGGACAAGCUUCGGACUCAAAACACAUCCCUCUGGGAGAAGCCUGGAAAGGCUGAGGGAGGAGACUCUCUCUCCUGGCCUAAGUGUUUUUCAGCCCCUGGAAUGAUUUCCUGUUAUUUCAUUUUGAGCCUCCCUGAGUAUUUCUCACUUAUUCAGUACUCUUAAUCCCCCAGAAGCGUUUUAUUUUUUCUUCCUCCUUUGGUUUUUCUUUCCUUGUCAGAAAGAAAUCUCACUCCCACAGUUGUUUUCUUCUUCUCUGCUGGAGCAGAGAGUUCUAAAAUUACUUCAUUGUGCCAGGUGGUGAGGUCUUUUCAACCUUGAUGGAUGCUGUUCUCGAGCUUAAGCCGUUGUCAUAAAAUGCGUAGUUUACCAACUCUCUCCUCCUUUGUAAAGUUAACUUUAUUCUUAGGAUGCAGCUUUUAAAACUCUGUUCCAAGUUGAGUGUAGCUGCAAAGAGUCAGAUAAUGUUUGGGUGGUGGGGGGAAGGCUCAGCACCCUCGCACGAAACUGCAGGAGCCUUUCGAAUGCUACAAUAUCCGUAUGUGUUUAGAGAAAUAUAAUUGUUCACUGCAAAUGUCAAAGAAGGUUUAUUUACAAAGAAGGAUUAUGGUCACUAACUAGAUCAAAAUUAGGAGAGAAUGAUCAUAGGAACAAAUUAUACCCAAGGACAUUUACUCAUUCUUCUUAAACAGAGUAUAGCAAUUACCUUUUCUCAGACUCUCUCCUUGCAGAAUCUCACAGACAUUCAGGAUGGGCGGGCUUCAGCGGCCCUCAGAUAUAACCACAUCCCUGAAAAAUAAUCUCUCAGCCUAGUCCUAACCCCCUCUAGCAAUGGAAAACACCCUCUCCAAAGGCUGCCUUUCUCCUUGGAUUUUGGCUUUCCUGGAAUAACUCAGCGCCUUAAGUAUAAACACAUAGAGAAACCACUGCCCCCACGCAGGAAGCUGACUCCUCGUUGUCAAUACUCAGUACUCAUGGUGAGCAGAUAUUCUUGUCCCUAAACCUUGGGCCCACUGGUUCCAGCUUUGCCUUCGUACACCACACAGAGAAAUCCAAUCCAUCUUCUGUGUAAAACACCGCGCUCAAAGACCACCCAUCGGGAGCCCUCCCUCAAUUCUUCAUCUCUGUGGAUUAAACAUCUCUUUCUCCUACAACCGUGUGAUAUGGUUUCUAGGUCACUAGCUAUUCCAAACCCCUCCCUCUGGAUAUCCUUCAGGAAUCUCUGUAACUGUCCUUGAACGGACCAUUCCUGAUGAGGUCUAAUCAACACGAAAUCCAGCAAGACCACUGAGACACUUUCUAUAAACCUAGCCUAAACCACAGGAGCUCUCUUAGCAAACACAUCUGUUCUUUAUUCAUUGAGCUCACAGUUGGCUAAAUCAAAUAUGUCUUAUCCUAGAAUUGUGCGAUUAGACUUCUGAAAUCAAAGAUAUAACUUUGCAUUUAGAUCUCUUACGUUUCUUUAUUUGUACCCCAACAUUCUAGCCUUUUAAAGUUACUUUUGAUUCCCG